GGCACGGUGGCGCAGUGGGUAGCACCGUUGCCUCACAGCAAGAAGGUCUGGGGUUCGAGCCCCGCCUGGGCCU
rnacentral:tRNA from 1 species